GACGAACGCUGGCGGCGUGCUUAACACAUGCAAGUCGAACGGAAAGGCCCUGCUUUUGUGGGGUGCUCGCGUGGCGAACGGGUGAGUAACACGUGAGUAACCUGCCCUUGACUUUGGGAUAACUUCAGGAAACUGGGGCUACUACCGGAUAGGAGCUCCUGCUGCAUGGUGGGGGUCGGAACGUUUGGGCGGUUGGGGAUGGACUCGCGGCUUAUCAGCUUGUUGGUGGGGUAGUGGCUUACCAAGGCUUUGAUGGAUAGCCGGCCUGAGAGGGUGACCGGCCACAUUGGGACUGAGAUACGGCCCAGACUCCUACGGGAGGCAGCAGUGGGGAAUAUUGCACAAUGGGCGGAAGCCUGAUGCAGCAACGCCGCGUGCGGGAUGACGGCCUUCGGGUUGUAAACCGCUUUCGCCUGUGACGAAGCGUGAGUGACGGUAAUGGGUGAAGAAGCACCGGCUAACUACGUG
rnacentral:rRNA from 1 species